rnacentral:lncRNA from 1 species
AUUCAGUAUAAUAUGAUAAAUACAAUUGCGGAAACACACGUGGAAUAUUUCCAUGUUACACAAAGAAGGAUGUCAAAAGAAGCCUUCCCGAAAAUCAUUUCUGAGCUGAUUUAACUCACUGUCAAACAGAAGAAAGAAUGUUCCAGACAGAGGCAACAAGUGAACAAGACGAUGGAGAUACAGAAUAGCUUGGUGCCGCAGCCAUUGAGGUUGCUGCAAUAAAAGAUUUCUAACUGCAGUGCCAGUAAACUUUAUAGUUGAAUGGCUUAUUGGACUUUUCUCAUUCCUUUAUAUUUUUAGAAGUACAUUGUAAGAUGAAGUUUUUACUUACUUCAUGCCCUAAAAUAGCAUAUCAGGAAUUGUAUGAGUAGAUAUCUUUGCUAUGCGAAAAUUUCUUUCAUAACAGCCUCGGUAACACUUAUCACAAUUGUUGGGAAUACCAUACAGCAUCUCUUCCUGAAAUUUCUAUUCGCUACUGGGUGUGACAUCUUACACCUGGAAUCCCAGCCCUUGGGAGCCUAAGCCAGAAAGGAGCCUAACCGUGAUCUUUAGAUUACCCUCGGCUUCAUAAAAAGACUUUGUUUCCUCCCCC